AACGAACGCUGGCGGCAGGCCUAACACAUGCAAGUCGAUCGCUGUCUUCGGACAGAGAGGCGCACGGGUGAGUAACACGUGGGAACAUACCCUUGAGUGCGGAAUUACUAUUGGAAACGAUAGCUAAUACCGCAUACGCCCUACGGGGGAAAGAUUUAUCGCUCAAGGAUUGGCCCGCGUCCGAUUAGCUAGUUGGCGGGGUAACGGCCCACCAAGGCGACGAUCGGUAGCUGGUUUGAGAGAAUGAUCAGCCACACUGGGACUGAGACACGGCCCAGACUCCUACGGGAGGCAGCAGUGGGGAAUAUUGGACAAUGGGCGCAAGCCUGAUCCAGCCAUGCCGCGUGAGUGAAGAAGGCCUUCGGGUUGUAAAGCUCUUUCAGACGUGACGAUGAUGACGGUAGCGUCAGAAGAAGCCCCGGCUAACUUCGUGCCAGCAGCCGCCGUAA
rnacentral:rRNA from 1 species